CAGCCGUAAACGAUGUGCAUUAGGUGUAUCGGUGACCACGAGUCACCGAGGUGCCGAAGAGAAAUCGUGAAAUGCACCGCCUGGGAAGUACGGUCGCAAGGCUGAAACUUAAAGGAAUUGGCGGGGGAGCACCACAACAGGUGGAGCCUGCGGUUUAAUCGGACUCAACGCCGGGAAACUCACCAGAUAAGACAGCUGAAUGAUAGUCGGGCUGAAGACUCUACUUGACUAGCUGAGAGGAGGUGCAUGGCGUAGACGUCU
rnacentral:rRNA from 1 species